GGACCCGCACAAGUAGUGGAGCAUGUGGUUUAAUUCGAAGAUACGCGCAGAACCUUACCAACACUUGACAUGUUCGUCGCGACUUUAAGAGAUUAAAGUUUUCGGUUCGGCCGGACGAAACACAGGUGCUGCAUGGCUGUCGUCAGCUCGUGUCGUGAGAUGUUGGGUUAAGUCCCGCAACGAGCGCAACCCUCACUUUUAGUUGCCAUCAUUUAGUUGGGCACUCUGAAAGAACUGCCAGUGAUAAGCUGGAGGAAGGUGGGGAUGACGUCAAGUCCUCAUGGCCCUUACGUGUUGGGCUACACACGUGCUACAAUGGUAUCUACAACAGGAAGCAAAACAGCGAUGUUAAGCAAAUCCUUAAAAGAUACCUCAGUUCGGAUUGCACUCUGCAACUCGAGUGCAUGAAGCUGGAAUUACUAGUAAUCGUGGAU
rnacentral:rRNA from 1 species